rnacentral:rRNA from 1 species
GCUUAACUUAGGAAUUGCAUUCGAUACUGGGAAGCUAGAGUAUGGGAGAGGAUGGUAGAAUUCCAGGUGUAGCGGUGAAAUGCGUAGAGAUCUGGAGGAAUACCGAUGGCGAAGGCAGCCAUCUGGCCUAAUACUGACGCUGAGGUACGAAAGCAUGGGGAGCAAACAGGAUUAGAUACCCUGGUAGUCCAUGCCGUAAACGAUGUCUACUAGCCGUUGGGGCCUUUGAGGCUUUAGUGGCGCAGCUAACGCGAUAAGUAGACCGCCUGGGGAGUACGGUCGCAAGACUAAAACUCAAAUGAAUUGACGGGGGCCCGCACAAGCGGUGGAGCAUGUGGUUUAAUUCGAUGCAACGCGAAGAACCUUACCUGGUCUUGACAUAGUAAGAACUUUCCAGAGAUGGAUUGGUGCCUUCGGGAACUUACAUACAGGUGCUGCAUGGCUGUCGUCAGCUCGUGUCGUGAGAUGUUGGGUUAAGUCCCGCAACGAGCGCAACCCUUUUCCUUAUUUGCCAGCGGGUUAAGCCGGGAACUUUAAGGAUACUGCCAGUGACAAACUGGAGGAAGGCGGGGACGACGUCAAGUCAUCAUGGCCCUUACGACCAGGGCUACACACGUGCUACAAUGGUCGGUACAAAG